rnacentral:rRNA from 1 species
UACAGAGGGUGCAAGCGUUAAUCGGAAUUACUGGGCGUAAAGCGUGCGUAGGCGGUUCGUUAAGUCUGUUGUGAAAGCCCCGGGCUCAACCUGGGAAUGGCAAUGGAUACUGGCGAGCUAGAGUGCGGUAGAGGAUGGCGGAAUUCCCGGUGUAGCAGUGAAAUGCGUAGAGAUCGGGAGGAACAUCUGUGGCGAAGGCGGCCAUCUGGACCAGCACUGACACUGAGGCACGAAAGCGUGGGGAGCAAACAGG